GACGAACGCUGGCGGCGUGCUUAACACAUGCAAGUCGAACGGAAAGGCCCUGCUUUUGUGGGGUGCUCGAGUGGCGAACGGGUGAGUAACACGUGAGUAACCUGCCCUUGAGUUUGGGAUAACUUCAGGAAACUGGGGCUAAUACCGGAUAGGAGCUCCUGCUGCAUGGUGGGGGUUGGAAAGUUUCGGCGGUUGGGGAUGGACUCGCGGCUUAUCAGCUUGUUGGUGGGGUAGUGGCUUACCAAGGCUUUGACGGGUAGCCGGCCUGAGAGGGUGACCGGCCACAUUGGGACUGAGAUACGGCCCAGACUCCUACGGGAGGCAGCAGUGGGGAAUAUUGCACAAUGGGCGGAAGCUUGAUGCAGCAACGCCGCGUGCGGGAUGACGGCCUUCGGGUUGUAAACCGCUUUCGCCUGUGACGAAGCGUGAGUGACGGUAAUGGGUAAAGAAGCACCGGCUAACUACGUG
rnacentral:rRNA from 1 species